GCAAACACGUCAUCUCGGCUCGUCCUCGCGCAGUUCGUGGGAACGGGAAGGCAUCCGAAUAUCCGAUGAUGUCCUGGUCGCCAGGCGCGCGACGUCACCGGAUAAGUGACUGGCCUCCGCCUUCCGGGGCGCAUCAGCCACCGCGUGGGGCACGCCUCGUCGCGUGUGGGCGCGGCCAGCACCGGCCGGCGGGCACACUUGGUGGCCGAAGCUCCAAGCGUCGGCCGCCGGGCCACUAUAUAUUGCCCCCAUCUACUCAAACGCUACAUGCCUGAAGCAGAUGCCUCAGCGUAACACACGGGAUCGGAGGAGGGAGUUGUCCAAGUUUCUUGUCACUUGUUCCUUCGGCUUCAGGGAGAAAUUUUGGUCUAAAUUUAAGCACCUGGCAGUUCGUCCCAGACAAGCAAACUGUGAUAUGAUCAAAUAUUCAAUUUUGAUGUAAAAUAUGGAUCCGGAUCAGUUUAUUUUUGUUCAGGUCUCACAUGACACUCAGGUCAGCAUAGAACUAAGGAAAGCUUACAUUCCAUCGGUGUUUUGAGAGGUGUACUGUUUAGCAUUUGGGAGCAUACAGAAGAACUAUUCAGCAUUUAAGCAUAUCACGUUCUAAAAAAAAUUUGGUAGUGCUUUGUGCUAGCUUGUCGCAAAAUCAAACUGCCCAAAAAAAAUUCUUUUUAAUUUAAAAUGUUAGUAAGCAUAUUUCUAUGUUUCCUUGCGUGACAAUGAAAAGCUUGGCGAUUGACUUCCAGUACUGGUCGGAACCCCUUCAGUACUGGAGGUCCGACCAGUAUCGCUUCUUCGGUAUUAAAUGUCAUGGAUGAAUGCUCAAUUUUUUAGUAGUGCACGUAGAUUUUCCUUGUUUUAGUUUCUGUAUAUAUCAUGCCAUACGGUACAAUUAGUUAUCCAGCUUUAUCAUGUUUUAUGAAAUACCUUCUGCUUUGUUCUAAAGGGGUUUAAACUCCCACAAGGUAAAACUUUGUUCCCUUUGAAAUUGAAGUAGAUAUGUUAGCCCCCUGUUUCUGUUUGUUUCCACCAUCACCCCCUCCUUCAGACUACAAACCAGAUGCUCGCCAUUGGGGCUCUGGUCUUGAAUGUUCUCGGUACACAUGCAGAAAAAGAAUGUUAAUGGACCGUACCCUGAAUUGCAUCACCAGUGUGGCACAUUCAAUCAAGUGCAUAUGCAUAACAGGAAUUCUGGCGGCCAAGCUACUCUGUUUGCAACAUGCAUAAACCUCGUGGCUGGGUGGCUUCAACCUGUCACUUUCCAGUAACACCUAGUGUCCUAGUUGUGCUUCUUAGCGGUCACUGACACACCACGUUGCCAGGAUGAACUCCGUUCACUUUCCAGUAACACCUAGUGUCCUAGUUGUGCUUCUUAGCGGUCACUGACACACCACGUUGCCAGGAUGAACUCCGCUCGUAAUGAUAAACCUGCGAGGCUUUUAUCUGUAUAAUCCUUUAGUUAACCAAAUCAGCUUUGAAUCACUGGCGUCCGGGUGACAUUCAGAGACUUUGGCUCGCGUCGAUUAUUCUAGAAAUCGAGCCCGGUGAACACAGGGAGAUUUAACAGUGUCACGCCGCUGGCUUAGGUUAUAUAUCAUCGUGCGUGCGUGAUGUGAAGCAGCAUCUAGGAUUUAAUUUACUAGAUUAUAGCUUCACCCUCAAUCAAAGAAAAAGAAUCUCAAGAGAGAUUUCGAAGAGAUCCUCGACUAGGAAAAGGGAACGUCCUACUGUGCUGUCCACUGCCGCGGUGCUGUGUGGCGAAAGCUCGUAGCACCACACGCAUUCGCUGCAAGAGACUGUCGUCGUGCCGUUAGUCGCUCUCGGUCGGGCACCCUCGUCGAUCGAUCGGGUUGGAGCCGGACUGGCCACACAGCACCGCGCGCGCGAACAGUUCCCAACCGUCCCCUUUCCACGAUCCGAGGGUAUAUAAAAAGUUUCGGGUGCGGCGAAUGAUGAAGCUGCAACCUCGAGUGUGACCAGAAUUAGCUAAGCCGCCAUGGGAUUGGGGAAGGGGAAGAAGAAGAAGAAGAAGAAGAAGCAGCUGCUGGUGGAGAAGGUGCGGUGCGCGGCGCGGCAGCAGGUGGGCAAGCUCUACAUCAUCGCCGCCUGCCUCGCGCUGCUCGUCUGCGGCUGCAGCAGCAGCAGCAGCAGCAGUCACACGAAGCGGAAUAAAAUCAAGAAACAGGGCAAGAGCAGCAAUAUCUAAGGCCUGAGGAGUCCUUUAUAAUAAAAAAAAAGGCCUGAGGAGUCCUUUAUCAAAAAAAGGCCUGAGGAGUAGGGCUAUGUAUCACUCUGAUACUAGUAUAUCUUUGUCCAGCAUAUAUAGCUGCAUCAUUACAGCCGGUUUUGUCGCAUGCCUGUUUGCUGCCAGUAAGCAGUGUGUGCUGGACAGCACAAUGAGACGAAGAAAACGGCGGGAAUAAUGCUUAUACAUGAAAUGUGCUGGACAGUGGACAAGUGGCGUACAUCCGUAGAUGCCACUGUCACGUAGGGAUUCUGGUGUACGUACAUAUACCAUAUGAGAUGUCAUGGUGAUUCAUGAGGGCAAGUCUGUCUAUACAUUGUGGUGUGACUUAUUGGGAGCCAGCGACAGGGAAAUCGUGUCAGGACUCAGGUUCCUGAUACAGGAUCUGACGAUAAAUUGGGGGAAAUUUGGGGGAAGAAGAGAUGGAUAUAAAGGAGAAAGUUAGGAUUCUAAGCUAUGACGCAAGUAAGAGAAAGGAAAUAGCAGCAGCAAUGACUGUUACCUGUUACUGUCACCGGUUAUAUUCUCGUUUUUUUACAGAGGAGCAGUGGUCAAUGACUGUUAGAUAUGUGCAGGUAGAUCAACGAAGAUUACUGAACAAAGGGAAUGAUAAAUCAACGAUACAAGUAGAUUCGACCAUUCCUCUCUGUCGCCAUUUUUGGAGCCUAUUUCUUCAGACUUGGUGGUGCUUCUCUUCUUCAGAACCUGACAAAAGGCGUUUGGAAUCAUCCUUUUCUUAGUUUGUGUUCAAUGCUGGAUGCAAAAUUUAUAUAAGCUUGUAAGGAUCA